CAGUCGACGCUUCUUUUUCACCGGAGCUUGCUCCACCGGAAAAAGAAGAGUGGCGAACGGGUGAGUAACACGUGGGUAACCUGCCCAUCAGAAGGGGAUAACACUUGGAAACAGGUGCUAAUACCGUAUAACAAUCAAAACCGCAUGGUUUUGAUUUGAAAGGCGCUUUCGGGUGUCGCUGAUGGAUGGACCCGCGGUGCAUUAGCUAGUUGGUGAGGUAACGGCUCACCAAGGCCACGAUGCAUAGCCGACCUGAGAGGGUGAUCGGCCACAUUGGGACUGAGACACGGCCCAAACUCCUACGGGAGGCAGCAGUAGGGAAUCUUCGGCAAUGGACGAAAGUCUGACCGAGCAACGCCGCGUGAGUGAAGAAGGUUUUCGGAUCGUAAAACUCUGUUGUUAGAGAAGAACAAGGAUGAGAGUAACUGUUCAUCCCUUGACGGUAUCUAACCAGAAAGCCACGGCUAACUACGUGCCAGCAGCCGCGGUAAUACGUAGGUGGCAAGCGUUGUCCGGAUUUAUUGGGCGUAAAGCGAGCGCAGGCGGUUUCUUAAGUCUGAUGUGAAAGCCCCCGGCUCAACCGGGGAGGGUCAUUGGAAACUGGGAGACUUGAGUGCAGAAGAGGAGAGUGGAAUUCCAUGUGUAGCGGUGAAAUGCGUAGAUAUAUGGAGGAACACCAGUGGCGAAGGCGGCUCUCUGGUCUGUAACUGACGCUGAGGCUCGAAAGCGUGGGGAGCAACCAGGAUUAGAUACCCUGGUAGUCCACGCCGUAAACGAUGAGUGCUAAGUGUUGGAGGGUUUCCGCCCUUCAGUGCUGCAGCUAACGCAUUAAGCACUCCGCCUGGGGAGUACGACCGCAAGGUUGAAACUCAAAGGAAUUGACGGGGGCCCGCCCAAGCGGUGGAGCAUGUGGUUUAAUUGGAAGCAACGCGAAGACCCUUACCAGGUCUUGACAUCCUUUGACCACUCUAGAGAUAGAGCUUCCCCUUCGGGGGCAAAGUGCCAGGUGGUGCAUGGUGGUCGUCAGCUCGUGUCGUGAGAUGUUGGGUUAAGUCCCGCAACGAGCGCAACCCUUAUUGUUAGUUGCCAUCAUUCAGUUG
rnacentral:rRNA from 1 species